UCACCUGCUUCCAGACUGUGGUUGACUGUAGGUAAGUGAAACCACAGAAAGUGAAAUUGUGGAUAAGGGAGGACUACUGUAUGUGUACACACACACAUACACACACACACACACAGGUAACAGACUAAGAACUAGGAUAUAGAGUUCUACGUGAAAUUUUGUUCUUGAAAAGCAGAGUUUGGCCUUAUGUGUGACACCCAAAUACUUUGGGCUUAAAUUUUAUCAUCUGUACAAAUAAAAGGAUGAGGAAAGUUUUAUAUUUCUUCAGACUUAAGAUUAUGUGGAUCUAUAAAAAUAAACAAUGGAGAUAAAACUAAGGCUUAUCAACUGCCAAAUGUUGUAAACAGAUUUUCAAAAACAAGAGAUGUUCACAAUGUCAGAAAUGGAACACAGAAAUCAUCUUGAUUAUAUCUAAGAUCAGAACCAGAUGGCUGACAACUCCCUCCUGAGUUGUUCAUGAGUGAGGUUCUGCAGACUGCAAUCCAGGUUCUCUGCACCUGAUGCUGUUUGAUCAUCAUCAUCACAAUCAUCAUCAUCUUUAUGAUUAAAGAGCAUUUGCUCAAUUUUUCUGGAAUGAAUGGCAGCAGCUCAAGAUCUCUCUUCAGAUUGAAGUAUGAAAAAAAGAAUAAGAAAAUAACACACUAGCCACUGCAGAAGAAAGUACAACAAAACAAGUCAUACAGCCACUGAUUGGUCCCUUCUACUAAAGUGGUAAUUCAAAAACCAAAAAACUUCAAUAAGCCCAGCAAACAGAUCUCCGCAGGUCAGAAAUAGAAAGGUCAUUGAUAUUUCAGAAUUUCAAGAAUCUGAUGAUGCUGAUGAAGAUUAUGGAAGAGAUGCAGGCCCUCUAGCUAAGAAAAUUCACUCAUUUUCCCAGGAAGCAAAAAUAAGAGGCAAUUUGGAAAGAAUUCACAGGAAGAUAGUGAGGACUCUAAAGAAAAAGAUGUGGAGACCAAGAAGGGUGAUUCUCACUCAGCAGAAGACAGUGAAGAUAAAAAGAUCAUCGAAAUAUGUGUCAGCAAUGGCAAGCAGCCUCUAAAGCAGCUUCCAAUCAGAGAGAGAGAGAUGCUCAUGAAAGAUGAGGGCAGUGAAGAACAAGAGGAGGUUGAAGCACCACUCCAAGAGAAAGAUUCCAGCAGUGAUGAAGAUUUCCUAAUGGAAGACUAUGAUGAUAAUGACUAUGGCAGUUCCAAAAAAAAAAAGAAAAGAAAAACAAAAAGAUCCCUAUGAAGUCCAAUCCUGAGAUAAAAGAAAAUGCCCAAACCUAAGCCAAAGGCUACAGUGAGGCCAAACCCCCUGUGAGAGGCAAAGGGAAGGUAGGUCACUCCACAGCUUUAAAGGUAUCAAAGGAAAAGGCUCCUUCUCCCAACGAAAAGGAGAAACCAGAUAGCUCUCCAGAAAAGAAGCCCUCUGCAAGCCAUCCACCUGAAAAAUCUGGGGAUAACGGGUCUGAAGAUGAAGCUCAGUCUGUGGAGGAUUAAAAAGUAAUGAUGGUUUGGGGAGAUAUUUUAUUUAAAAAAAAAAGAGAAAAAAGAAAAAAGGAAAAAGAAAAUCUACUUCAGAUAGAACAUAGUUUUGGCUAUGGUUU